rnacentral:rRNA from 1 species
UAAUACUAUUGAUGGCGACCGGCGGACGGGUGUGUAACGCGUAUGCAACCUACCCUUUACAGGGGGAUAACACUGAGAAAUCGGUACUAAUACCCCAUAAUAUUCUGGGAGGCAUCUUUCGGAGUUGAAAGCUUUGGUGGUAAAGGAUGGGCAUGCGUUGUAUUAGCUAGUUGGUAAGGUAACGGCUUACCAAGGCGACGAUACAUAGGGGGACUGAGAGGUUAACCCCCCACAUUGGUACUGAGACACGGACCAA